AUACGGAGGACGCGAGCGUUAUCCGGAUUCAUUGGGUUUAAAGGGUGCGUAGGCGGUUUGCUAAGCGGGCGGUGAAAUGCCGGCGCUCAACGUCGGAAGUGCCUCCUGAACUGGUGGACUUGAAUGACUCUGCCGUGGGAGGAAUGUGUAGUGUAGCGGUGAAAUGCUUAGAGAUUACACAGAACACCGAUUGCGAAGGCAUCUCACGAAGGGUUGAUUGACGCUGAGGCACGAAAGCGUGGGGAUCAAACAGGAUUAGAUACCCUGGUAGUCCACGCCGUAAACGAUGGGCGCUCGUCGUCGGCGGCAGACAGUCGGCGGCCAAGCGAAAGCGAUAAGCGCCCCACCUGGGGAGUACGGUCGCAAGGCUGAAACUUAAAGGAAUUGGCGGGG
rnacentral:rRNA from 1 species